GAUGAACGCUGGCGGCGUGCCUAAUACAUGCAAGUCGAGCGAACGGACGAGAAGCUUGCUUCUCUGAUGUUAGCGGCGGACGGGUGAGUAACACGUGGAUAACCUACCUAUAAGACUGGGAUAACUUCGGGACACCGGAGCUAAUACCGGAUAAUAUUUUGAACCGCAUGGUUCAAAAGUGAAAGACGGUCUUGCUGUCACUUAUAGAUGGAUCCGCGCUGCAUUAGCUAGUUGGUAAGGUAACGGCUUACCAAGGCAACGAUGCAUAGCCGACCUGAGAGGGUGAUCGGCCACACGAGAACUGAGACACGGUCCAGACUCCUACGGGAGGCAGCAGUAGGGAAUGUUCCGCAAUGGGCGAAAGCCUGACGGAGCAACGCCGCGUGAGUGAUGAAGGUCUUCGGAUCGUAAAACUCUGUUAUUAGGGAAGAACAUAUGUGUAAGUAACUGUGCACAUCUUGACGGUACCGAAUCAGAAAGCCACGGCUAACUACGUG
rnacentral:rRNA from 1 species